UCACAAAAGCGAAGUUGUGAGAAUAGGAGGCGGACGCGCAUAAAUGCAAAGAUCAAAGAGAUACAAGCGUUACUUCCCAGCUGCGAAAAGGGGGACCAUGCGUCCAUCCUCGACCAUGCCGUUGAAUACAUCAGAUCUUUGAAGUCCCAAAUUGAAGCGCUGUCAAGUUCAAGCGGACAAAGCCAGUUGCAAGUUCCACAUACACAACAAACGAUCAUGCGGCCUAGGAUGUUAUAUGAAUCAGCGCCUUGGUGUUCUCAUAUUAAUCCUGCUGAAUAUCCAUUAACAUUUCCACCAUUUGCACUUGAUGGCGGUAGUGUUCCAAUUGAACGACCCAUCCCUCAGGUCCAGUCUCAAUUUCCAUAUACACCAAAUUUGUGCCCUCCACAAUUUCUCCCUGCUACUUUGACAUCAUCGUCUACAACUAUUGUAUUGCCUUCUGUCCCUUGUGCACCACAACUCACCUUCCCCAUUGAGCCUCACAACCAACCACCGCCUUCUUGAUGACGCUUUAGACAAAGUAUAUAAUAACAUCACAUUUUGGUAUUAAGAGUGAGUUUGCUGUUCUCAAUCUAUUAUGUGUCAUAUGUGUGUUGUCAGGUGUGUGUGUAUAAGUAAGAUUGGUUAUGUAAUUGUGUGUUUCAGUUGCAGCACUUUGAUAUGCU